GGAAAUGGGUUACAACUGAUCAAAUUGUUAGCCAAAUGGGUCUUGUGGGAACCUAUAACAACCCAAUAUAUUCUCAGUGCUAUUGAUCACAUUCCAUAAGCGAUAAUAAGGCCCCAUUGCUGAAGACAACACCCAGGCAACUCACUGAGAAUGGAAAAGUCAAGCUGAUGCCAGUUUAGAGCCGUCACUCCUACCGAUCAGUGUUCGUGGUACUAGAAUGUAUUCUGCUUGUUACCAGAGAAACCAGGUGUGGACCAAGAAUUACAUUGAGAGAACUAUUGGCCUGGCCUUUUCCUAGUGAAGAUGCUCCAUCUCACCCUGCAGCUAUGAUGGUGACCACAUCUGCUACAGGACAACCCUUGCCUGCCACAGGACUGACUGUCUAUGUAAAAGCUUAACCACUGAGACCAAUGCCUUUCCUACUUGCCUUUCAUGAGUUUUCUCUCUCUGUUUUUCCUCUAGGAUAAUGGUAUUACCCUACAUAUAUCAAAUACAUGAGAAAGUACAGAAUUUUCUAAGACAGUGUCACAUUGCCAUGAGAACUGGAAUAUUCUAGACUUAUCCAUAGUCCUUGUUCUAAAACGAGAUGUGAGAAUCACUUGGAGGCCUUGUUGAAAUAGAUUGCUGACCUCAUCUUCACUUUCAGAGUUUGGGUUCACUCCAGAUGCUUAGAGAUCCAAGAGUUUCCAGCACAUUCUCAUGUUGUGUGG
rnacentral:lncRNA from 1 species